rnacentral:siRNA from 1 species
AGCAUUGUUACUAGAAGUUGCGUG